rnacentral:rRNA from 1 species
UACGUAGGGUGCAAGCGUUGUCCGGAAUUAUUGGGCGUAAAGAGCUCGUAGGCGGUUUGUCGCGUCUGCUGUGAAAACCCGAGGCUCAACCUCGGGCCUGCAGUGGGUACAGGCAGACUAGAGUGCGGUAGGGGAGAUUGGAAUUCCUGGUGUAGCGGUGGAAUGCGCAGAUAUCAGGAGGAACACCAAUGGCGAAGGCAGAUCUCUGGGCCGUAACUGACGCUGAGGAGCGAAAGCAUGGGGAGCGAACAGG